AGUUAGACCUGAAGGCAUUUUCUGCUGUGGGAACGUGCUGUGAUAUUACCCACGAUGUGCACUGAGGGGAUUUGCAGGCCCCAAAGGCAAUGAGACGGUCACAGUGUUUUAGCACAUUCGCUACUGUUGGCAGAGCUCGUGUCGUGUAGCGGGGAGAGGGUAGAGUGUCACUGUGUGGGCCACCCUCCCGCACUGCCUCCCGCCCCCGGCCCCCAGCCAGCAUCAGGGUUGUGUUCUUCCCCAGCAACACCCCCACUCCACGUCCAGCGUGCACGCGGAAAAGUGAGGACGGUACAGCAAAGUGGUGUUAGUACACAGUGCUUGAAUUUAUUUUCUACACCAAUCUGAGAACUGCUUGGCCUCUUCUGAAAAAGCUGUGAAUUUUGUCUUUCACUGAAACAAAUAUGAAAAAGUAUCAUUGCCCUUCUCAAGAAUAUGACCGUAAGAUGGCUGAUACCACACAAGAGCAAAGAAAGGGAAAUGCAGACUCAAGUUUCAAAGACAUCAUUUUGAAAAACAAACAGGAGCUCAAACUCUCUUUUGCAUUCUUCUUAUCCUGCCACUCUCCCUCCCUACCUGGCAAUGCAGUGAAUGCAAAGCUCAGCCAUAAGGGCAGAGACAUCACAGAAGAGUGUGGCUGGAAGGAGCCCCAAGAGGUCAGGUAUUCAGCCCAGCCCCUUGUUCCAUAACUAGAUCAUGACAUACAGACAUCUGUGCAUUUGAAAGAAUAGAUGUUGGAUGAUGAAAGGAAUUCCACAGUUUCUCUAAGCAACUGCACCAGUGCUCAGAAAUCAUGUGCAGCAAAUGGCAUGUGUGUCCAUCUCGGCAAGAACAGGCAGAAGCCCUUAUAUGGAGCCCCUCGCAUCUCACUACAGUUGGUUGCUCGCAAAUGCAACGCUCUUCCCAGCCAAGCCUGCUGUGCGAUUUUUGAAGAUGGCAGCUUACAAUAAAACUGUCUCUGUCAAUCCACAACACAGCGUGCAGCAUCUCCAAAAUAUCGCAGUGGGCAGUCUUAAUUUUUCAGAGCAAAGUGGGGCCUCGUAGCGGAUGGGCAUUGCAGCGUGGAGCCGCACAGCUCUCCCGUCGUGCCCCAUGCUGCAUCUUGCCGUUGUCAAUGGCUAUCGUUGGGGCAGCAGUGACAGCAACAGUGCUGGCCUCUUGGCCCCAGAUCAGCCUGGGGUGAGAGGGAAAAGAGCUCCCCCAACUCUGAAGAGAAGUGUGUUUCCAAAUCCAUCGCAAGCUGUGAACACCAGGAUGGCAAGGAGGUCUUAUUGCCAUUUUUUAGCUACAUAUGGUUAUGUUAAGUGCUAGAAGGAAGUGCCUAGGAUAAUGUACUAGUAAUAUCAAGGGUUUUCCAAGGGAAGGAGGCACGUGAUCCAGAAAACUUCAUGAAUGUUCUUAAUAAAGCUUCCGUCUCAUUGCCUCAUGAAAAAGAAAGUACAGAGGUUAACGGCACCAGUGGGAUGAGCACUCUUCCACCCCAGAGCAUUCAGUGAACUAGAGGAAAAAUCCUUAUUCUCACUGAAAGAGAAUAACCUGUUUUGCCCAGUGUGUAAGUGCCUUCCUUCAGGCUUAAUUUCCUGUUUCUUCAGAGGUCAGGCUGCUAAUCUAAUGUUUCUCCUUCUAAGCCACAUGGUUGCUGUUGGGAGUCCUAACAGCUCCUACAUCUUCCAGUACAUUUUUUACUGGGGCAUGAGUGUAAGAUCACAGGGACAUGCCUAGGUUUUGUAGUUUCUGAGAAAAAUUACAGAUAUAACCUAUUUUUUCAGAAAUACUUAUAUAAAGUAGUAGCUAUAGCAAAUUCAAACACUUGAAAGAAACCUGCCGUGUGAGGCUACCAAACUCCUCUCCAGGAUUUCCUGUACUGAAAUAUAGGCAUUUGUGUUCUGUGGUGCACCCAGGAAUCAUUGGACCUACUUACUACACACACUUAAUACUAUUGUUCUGUGCAUAGCAAAUUUAACAAUUUCAGGACAAACAUAUUGAGCAUACUCAGUUGACCUUUGCAACACACACAUUGGAUCCAGAGCUUCUCAGAUCCAUGUAGGUAUGGUGAAUCAUGCAGUUGCUUAGGGACAUGCCUGAGACUUUGGGAUGUACAGCAAUCUGAUUGGAGCUUUGGACCAAGAGCAAUAACAUCUCAUCUGUUAGUGCUAUCAGACAGCUGCUAGUGUGGGACAAAUCUAGAAAAUCUUCAAGAUCUGUCUAGAUGUUUCCAGACUGAAAAAAAAUACAUGGUAGGGAAAACACAGGCAUAUGGUCUCUCUCCUUCUUUCCCUUUCCUUCCCUCCCCACAAGUUACCUGCAAUUUACCUAUUUUUUUCAAUUCAUUCUCUCCAUCCCUCUUCUUUAAGCAAUUAGCUUUGUGGAAGGCAGCUAGCACAUAAACAAGGGCUUGUUCUUUUUAAUGCCCUCGGUUGUGGGGUAUCACCAACAGCAGUUUCAAAGUUCUCCCUUGUUAGGGAGUUGUCAUUCAAGCAUCUCUAGGAUCAUCUCUAGGAUAUCGCUGAAAUGAAUUCCUGACUCUUUUUCAGUCAGUUUCCUCUGUGCUUGGUCUAUCUAGUCCAUGCACCUCUAACAUAUCCCCCCUUCCUCAUAGGCUAGCCAGGCCACCAGCACGCUUGAGGUAUAAGGUAUAGACCUUUUAAAUAACUUGCUUUUAUGAGGAUUAAAUCCAUAUGAUCUUUGUCUCUUUGCUUUUCCCUAGCUGAAGUUUCUGACUAAACUGGAGACAGGAGGAGGGCCUCAUCGACCCAUGACCCGGGCUCGGUGACCGAGAACACAUCUGUGAAGAAAGAGCAAAGUGAUCUUUGGCCCCAGCCAUUUCUUACAUCCCCCCAUCUCCCCAGCCAGCUUCCUGCCUUCUUCUGCUCUCUUGCAUUCCCAGUUCUUUCUCUGCCCUAAGCUCCAUAACUUCUCAUUCCUUUUAUUCCCCUCUACCUCUCUGCACAGUCUCUCCCUCUUCCCCAAAGCCGCUACCUCACUUUCCCCCAUCAUUUCCCAGGCAGCAUGCACAUGUUGCACUUUCUUUUCCCUUCACAGCUGGCUUCUGGUUAGCUAGUAUAUUCUGAUUAUAUUUCUUCCAUAUAUAUACACUCCUUUGGCAGAGAUGGAUUUUAGUAAAAUGCCUGCAGACCUUUCUCAAAUAUCAGCCAAGAGCAAGGUUCAGAUUCACAUUGCUUUGGGUGUGACAUGGAAUCAGCAACAAGAAUGUUUCCUCGAGCAAUUAAAUUCACAUAACCCCUGUCUCAUGGAUAGAUACUAGCUGGGAUAUUCUGAUACUAGCUGGGAUAUUCUGCCUGCCGAUGCUCACUCUACUGCAUCUGGUGCCUAACAGUUAGGCAUACCUCUAUGCGGAGACUAAUCUCUUUCACUCUCUCUCUCUCUCUCUCUCUCUCUUUCAAAACAUGUCUUUGGAUUUUUGUUCCCCAUAAAAAUGGCAGAUUUGCACUGAAUGACUGAGAGGCAGGAGUGAAGGCAGGCUUUGCGACUCGUCCAUGGAGAUCCACACAGCUGUACACACAUGCACACAGCAGUGGAUUUCGUCUAAGAAAUGAUGUUUUUUUCAGAAAGCUGUAUCUCAAGAUAUUCUUGCUCUUUGGGCUGGAGGUUUGGGCCAUAAACCCAAUCCUGCACUAUCAGGAGGCAGAUACAAUUUGAGGCAAUAUAAGCAAGGACUUGAGUUUACAGGAUAAAAAGCUGGUGAACAAUAAGUAAUUCUCUACCUUAGCUACAGAAAAACUCAUAGUCUACUAUAAUAAAGCACUUGAGGGCUCUGGCAGUCACAGGACAGCAAUGUAAAUGCAGUCCUGCAUUUCUAACAUAAGCACUUUAAAAACAGUUAUAAUGUAAUGGGUAAAAGAGCUGUUAGAAGACAGUGUCUUUGAUUAAGAAAUCUUAGACCACAUCAGAAGAGACAAUGCUAUUGUUUCAUAACAACUACCUUCAGCAGACUCACAAUAUGACAUGUUUAUGCCAAAUACCACACUGCCUUCCUUUGCGAUCUGAGGCUGGGAAGACCGGCCUCAAUAGAGGCCUCUCUCUUCUUAAUGACUCACAGAUGACUUUGCUGGCAUUUCUUGCAGCUCCUCCCAGAAGAAGUUUAUGAAGUGUUUAGGGUUCAAUUAUUGCUGAAUCAGUGCAUCUUCAUACAUCAGGAAAAGAGAAAUUCUCUUCCACAUCGUCUUGCACUGAGCUUAAUCAAAAGCAGUUCUGCAGCUGGUUAUGGCCUGUUUGCCUCUGCAGUUUGACAGAUGUUCCCAGUGAUGUCUGAGAGCAGAGGUUCUGUUCGCUUAUCAGGGGACACAACUCUAUCUGGUAAAGGUAGUUCUGCACGGGCAGUUUUUAAAAUAAAUAGUAUACAUUCUGAAGCCUCAUUCCCUCACUCCCUCAUGCGCUGUAAUUCAGCCAAUCAUUCAUGUCAUGGACAAUGUAUCCUGGCUUCUCUCCCCUGUGGAUGUGAUCUCAUUUUUGGGAGAGAUAAUGAAAACCUUGCUGCAAAAGAGCAGGACCUGAUAUUAUGAUUUCACAAGUGUGGCACCUCAGGCUCCUUCAGAAAGCCACCUCCAGUAUCGUGGAGACAAACUGGUCUGUCAGAAGCUUUGCUGUUUGAAGACAGAUUUGUGUUGUAAGUGUCACUGCUCUACAAGCUCCUUUCUAUCUAAAUCUUUUACUUUUAAUUCUCUUAUAACAAUGAAGUCUCUGCUUACUGUGAAAUGGCAAACUGAAAAAAUAAAUAACAAAAGGUGUUCCCUGCCCAUCUUUUGCAGGGCUACACUCAGAAGUUUCAACAGUAACAUGGAGCUGCCACAGUGCUAUGGUAGCUUUUUUUUUUUUUUUCAGAUUUCCUGCAUGGGAACAAGAGCCCUGCCUGUGUAUUUCUGCCCCUGCCUUCUAUCUGGUUUUACUUUUUUCCUUGAUUACAAUUGGGUAUUUGAAAAUUUCUGCUGAAACUCUAAUUACAACUUAACUGCAGUAAACAUAAAAUACUUUUGCAGUUAAAUCGUUCACAUAACAUUGAUUUUGGUUUUGUUUUUGUUUGUAAUAUGAAAGCAAUAAACAUUCCACAGCCCAGUAUAAAUACCUUGAGGAAAGUUCAGAGAGUAGAGAAAUAUCCUGAUCACCAAUCUCUCUUUGAGUAGUCAAUCCACAGAACUCCAGCUGCAGAUAAAGAAAGGCUACAGAUAUUCCACAGCAAUGUUUAAAACAAAUGGUUGGUCAGCCCAGUGGUCUGGCUUCAGUAAUCCACGUUGUAGAGUUAAAGGCUCUUUAGGGCCCUUUAAAGGUUAAAGUUUGUUGUUUCUCCAGAGUGCUGGCUUUCUAAAGGCAAGAAUGGUGAAGGUUACUGAACAUGUACACCCUCCCUUCAAAGACAUUGAUACUGUAUUUGGCCCCAAGAGGGACUGGUCAGUCACUAUUUGAAAGUGGGGAACAUCUAUCACCAGCGAGGCUCAUAUGAUGGAAAGUACACAGAGCAUACCUUUCAAGAAUGAGAUGGAAAAAGAUCAAAAGGAUCCCAUUUGGACUUGUCCUUAGUUGAGGCUUGACUUGGAGAUUCUUAACAAAGAACUUCUUUGAUCUAGAAUCUUUUAUUACUGUAGAAUAUAAAUGCAAGAAACAAAAUAUUCACCUUAAUUAUUUUUCCUCUCCCCUGCCCCAGGAAAGCAAACAAUUCGCAGCCUCAUGUAGAUUUUGGAAACAUAACUGUGUACUGCGUUUAAAAGUUCCUUUUUAUCCGCAUUUAACAACCAGCCACAAAUCCUAAAGACUCUAAAAAAACUGGACUUGGGUUUAUGCUAAAAUGAAAGACUGGUUUUCUAGUAAGCUCUGAGGCAAAAGAAAAUGUGCCAAGUAUAAUUUUACAUCCUUGCUGAUUGUCCUUUUUCUCCAGUGCAGUCAUUCAUUUGCUCUGUCACAUGUCCCGUAUUAUAAGAACAUUAUAAACAGAAUUUAUCAGAAAGUUCCUGGCCCAAGACUGUUAAUGGCUAUGUGGGUUUCUCUGGAAGUUUCCAGGCUUUUUUCCUUUCUGUUCCCAAAGAUACUUCUUUUAUUUCUAUUUUCAAAGAGAAACUGAAGUGUUACUCCUGUAAUAGCAGAGAUUAUCACUUUGCUAUUCCCCCUUCCUUCUUCAUCAGAGUAAUUGGAAUACGGGAGAAAGCUGGUUUAGUCAGAUAAAGCUAACACGGUCAUUUAACAAAAACACAGCUCAUGCAGAACUACGGUGGACCUCACUUUUUUCUACUUGGCAAAACAUUUAAAUAUGGGUGGCUAAAACUGGCUACUGAAUCUAAAUAGGAGCCACUUGAUUUUCCAGGGCAUUAAGCAACACAAGCUUGCAUUUGAGGCUUUGACUGGAACAUGGCUGAAGCAGAUGCUCUACUCCACCCUCUUUACAGGAUAGUGUGUUUAAUUAGUCAUGUUUUCCAGUAUCGCUUCAACUGCCGAUCAGAAUUUAUCUUACUCUGAUUUUAGAAGUUCCAAGAAGUUGUGUCUGGAUCCUUUAGACUACAUGAAACUGAAGAGAGCUUGCCCUAAAAACAGAAUAACAACAGACACAUGAUGCUUCCAUCAGGACCAUUUAAAUCAUUAUGUUUUACACUGCACAAGGGGAAAUACAGUUUUAAAGAAAGAUUUUUUUCCAGUAUUUGGACCUUGCUGAAUUCAAAAUCCAGGUAGGAAAUAAGGAUUUUUCAGUUUGAAAAUUUUAAAAAAGCACCACUUCCUCUUCAAAAUCAUGACCUUUUGCAAUCCUGUGUCCAAACUUUACUCCUUAUUUCCUCCUCUGCUGAUUUUUUGUUUGAUGGGAUGAAAACUGCUGGCCACAAACUCUCAUAUACUGGGUCUUUUUUUCAGACGUUCCUUGGUCAUCACGUCAUCUUAUAUUCAAAUAUAAAUGAACUAGCAAAUAGGCAAGGCAGCUAAGGCAUUUUAGUUUCUAGAUGUAACAGUAGAACGUAUGACCUGUAGUUUUUCUGUGCCUACUUUAGUGUUUGAAUCAGCUACUGCCAUUGCAGGAGCAGCUCACCAAGGGAGAUAACAGGAUCAUGAGGGACACUGAGGAGCAGCCAGCCAGGACUAAAGCUCCCUUCCUCAGCAAUCCCUGAAAUGGGGAAAUCUUGACAAGAGUUUGGUUCAGGCUUGUUCCAUUUUGGUCCAGGCAUUGGCCAAUUGUAGUACUCCAAUGAAAUCCAGAAGUGUAAUUUUGUUCUUGUUUGGGUCUGACAGCCACAGACUGCCUGUAUAAAUGCCAAACAAUAAUGGUGAUACAACUAAUAAAGUCUGAGUCUUCAUUCUUUCUGUGCUGUUUAU